rnacentral:tRNA from 1 species
GCGUUUGUGGUGUAAGGGUCAACACGCUCAACGCGUAAUCGAGAGGUCCGUGGUUCGAUUCCCGGCAAACGCG